CGAGAGGCCCAAACGUUAUUCGGAAUUACUGGGCUUAAAGAGUUCGUAGGCGGCGCGGAAAGUAGGGUGUGAAAGCCCUCGGCUCAACCGAGGAAUUGCGCUCUAAACUACCGUGCUUGAGGAACCUAGAGGUGAGCAGAACUGAUGGUGGAGCGGUGAAAUGCGUUGAUAUCAUCAGGAAUACCGGAGGCGAAGGCGGCUCACUGGGGGUUUUCUGACGCUGAGGAACGAAAGCCAGGGGAGCGAACGGGAUUAGAUACCCCGGUAGUCCUGGCCGUAAACGAUGAGCACUAGGCCGGAGGUCUGCACAGAUUUCCGGCCGUAGCUAAAGUGUUAAGUGCUCCGCCUGGGGAGUAUGGUCGCAAGGCUG
rnacentral:rRNA from 1 species